UAACAGGGUGUUAGUGCUCUUGUCAAUAUAUAUAGCUCUAUGGUAAUUACCAAUAGUGUCCACUGCCUUUAAGGGGUCAUCUUUUAAAGGAAGGGUACACAAUUUUGUUUUGAUACAAAAUGCCAACCUGCGUUAAGGCAUUUAUCCAAAUUAAACUACUCCUUUAAAUACAAACUCAACAAGCAUGUUGACAAGAGGCAGCAGAACCACCCGUGACAGCAAGUAAUAUUUUGUUUCCAAAGGAAAUAUGGAAAUCCGGAGUAAACUUGAUUUAUAUGUGCAUUAGUAAUACACAUCCGAUUAUUUUAGUGAAUUUAUUCACCUGAUUUGUGGCUUGCUGGUCAACUUAAAGGGACUGUCUUGGUCUAUAUAAGGCGCAUGAAUGAUUUUGCCCAGCCAUUUUGCUGUGCAAGAAAAAAUAGACUGAACUUAUUUUGUGACCACUGAACGCCAAUUUGUUGCAGCAAACCAUGGUUAGUGAGUGGCAACUGACACAUUUUGUAUAGCGUUUUACUCUGCUGUACAAGGGAAAAUAGUUUGAUGAGGCAUUUUUAGGAAAUAAUUAUGAUGGAAAAUAUAUUUUACAGUAGCAUUUUACAGAUUUUCACCAAAAAACCACCUCAAAUCAAUUUGCAGUCCCUUAUAAAAUGGCAAGGUAGCGCACAAUCAUUUCAGGUUUAAAAUAAAAAUACAAAUUUAAAAAAAAUAAAUUUGAAUAAUUAAAAAUUACCUUCAUCAUGUUCACCACCAUUGAAUGGCACAUCCAACAAUUUCUAUCUGACCUUGGGGAACAGGCGUUUGUUUCCUUGACAUUUUAAAAACGGCAUUUUUGACAGAUUUAUACCAAAACAAAUUAUGACAAUAUCUGGAUACAAAUAUUGCCAAAGGGCGUUUGAGUCAAAAAUAACGGUUUUGUCAACAUUGAAAAUGGUGUACCUUGUCAGAUUGAGUUAUAUAGCACAAAAAACAGCUGGCGAUUUUUUUAGCAUUGUGACAAAAGGACUUGACAGUUGAGAAAAAACAGUUGUCUUGAUUCAUAAAGAGUAAGAAACAAAAACAGCAUUGGUGUUGCAAACACUAAUUAUUAUACCUUUUCUUUAUUAAAAAAAAAAAAAAUAAAGCAGCAUUUUUUUAUGAAGCACUAAAGCAAGCACAAUAUACUUCUCUUGAUAAUCAAGACUUAGCAAAGUGGAGCAGCAAUAUUUGCGUCAGCAUUAUUUGUUUGUUUUAUAAAAUUAUUUUAAACAAAUCCAAAGCAGCGGUUUUUGUCAACAAUAAAUUCUGUACCUUAUCUUGAUUCAAAAAGGGGAAGCACGACAAAAGCAAUGCGUUUUUCCAUAUAGUAAAUUGCUGUAUUAUGUGUAAGCAUACUAAAGCAGCAGUUUUAUUAAUGUUAGCGUUGUACCGUAUCUUGAUUCAAUUUUGUAAGCAUUACAUUGUUGUACCUUAUCUUGAUUCACAAAAGGGUAAGCGGACUAUAGCAACCUUUGCAGUGUUGAACCCUAUCUUGUUUGGAAAGGUAAGCAUACUGGUGCAGCAGUUUUGUGAAUAAUUAUUACAGUGUGGUACCUUAUCUUGAUUCAUAUAAGGUUAGGCAUACUACAGUACCUGUAGAGCAGCUUUUGCAGUGUUGCACCUUAUCUUGAUUCACAAAAGGUAAGCAUACUGGUGCAGCAGUUUAGUGAAAAUUACUAUUAUCUUGAUUCACAUAAUGUUAAAGCAUACUAGAA